UACGUAGGUGGCAAGCGUUGUCCGGAUUUACUGGGCGUAAAGAGCGCGCAGGCGGUUGUUUAAGUCGCAUGUGAAAGCCCCCGGCUCAACUGGGGAGGGUCAUUCGAUACUGAUCGACUUGAAGGCAGGAGAGGGAAGUGGAAUUCCGGGUGUAGUGGUGAAAUGCGUAGAUAUCCGGAGGAACACCAGUGGCGAAGGCGGUUCUCUGGGAAUAUCCUGACGCUGAGGAGCGAAAGUGUGGGGAGCGAACAGG
rnacentral:rRNA from 1 species